GAUCCUGGCUCAGAUUGAACGCUGGCGGCAUGCCUUACACAUGCAAGUCGAACGGCAGCACGGGAGCAAUCCUGGUGGCGAGUGGCGAACGGGUGAGUAAUAUAUCGGAACGUGCCCAGUCGUGGGGGAUAACGUAGCGAAAGCUACGCUAAUACCGCAUACGAUCUAUGGAUGAAAGCGGGGGAUCGCAAGACCUCGCGCGAUUGGAGCGGCCGAUAUCAGAUUAGGUAGUUGGUGGGGUAAUGGCCUACCAAGCCUACGAUCCAUAGCUGGUUUGAGAGGAUGAUCAGCCACACUGGGACUGAGACACGGCCCAGACUCCUACGGGAGGCAGCAGGUGGGGAAUCUUAGACAAUGGGGGCAACCCUGAUCUAGCCAUGCCGCGUGAGUGAUGAAGGCCUUAGGGUUGUAAAGCUCUUUCAGCUGGGAAGAUAAUGACGGUACCAGCAGAAGAAGCCCCGGCUAACUCCGUG
rnacentral:rRNA from 1 species